GACGAACGCUGGCGGCGUGCUUAACGCAUGCAAGUCGAGCGGUAAGGCCUCUUCGGGGGUACCCGAGCGGCGAACGGGUGAGUAACACGUGGGUGACCUGCCCUCAGCUCUGGGAUAAGCCUGGGAACCUGGGUCUAAUACCGGAUAUGACCUUUCCUCGCAUGGGGUUUGGUGGAAAGUUUUUUCGGCUGGGGAUGGGCCCGCGGCCUAUCAGCUUGUUGGUGGGGUGAUGGCCUACCAAGGCGACGACGGGUAGCCGGCCUGAGAGGGCGACCGGCCACACGGGGACGGAGACACGGCCCGGACUCCUACGGGAGGCAGCAGUGGGGAAUAUUGCGCAAUGGGCGGAAGCCUGACGCAGCGACGCCGCGUGGGGGAGGACGGCCUUCGGGUUGUAAACCUCUUUCGACCCCGACGAAUUUGGACGGUAGGGGUAGAAGAAGCACCGGCCAACUACGUG
rnacentral:rRNA from 1 species